rnacentral:rRNA from 1 species
ACUCAAAGGAAUAGACGGGGGCCCGCACAAGCAGCGGAGCAUGUUGUUUAAUUCGAUGCAACGCGAAGAACCUUACCAGGUCUUGACAUUGAUGUAAACCACCAGAGAUGGUGGGUCCCUUCGGGGGACUGAAAACAGGUGGUGCAUGGUUGUCGUCAGCUCGUGUCGUGAGAUGUUGGGUUAAGUCCCGCAACGAGCGCAACCCUUAUGAUCAGUUACUAACGGGUGAAGCCGAGGACUCUGAUGAGACUGCCGGGGACAACUCGGAGGAAGGUGGGGACGACGUCAAAUCAUCAUGCCCCUUAUGACCUGGGCUACAAACGUGCUACAAUGGCGACUACAAAGAGGAGCGAGCCCGUGAGGGUGAGCGGAUCUCAAAAAAGUCGUCCCAGUUCGGAUUGUGGGCUGCAACCCGCCCACAUGAAGUUGGAGUUGCUAGUAAUCGCGGAUCAGCAUGCCGCGGUGAAUACGUUCCCGGGCCUUGUACACACCGCCCGU